AGCCUCUCUUUAUGUUUGAUCCAGCGC
rnacentral:piRNA from 1 species